rnacentral:rRNA from 1 species
AUUGAACGCUGGCGGCAGGCCUAACACAUGCAAGUCGAACGAGUGGCGGACGGGUGAGUAAUGUCUGGGAAACUGCCCGAUGGAGGGGGAUAACUACUGGAAACGGUAGCUAAUACCGCAUACUAUCGGAUGUGCCCAGAUGGGAUUAGCUAGUAGGUGGGGUAAUGGCUCACCUAGGCGACGUUCCCUAGCUGGUCCGAGAGGAUGACCUGCCAAACUGGAACUGAGAAACGGGCCAGACUCUUACGGGGGGCAGCAGUGGGGAAUAUUGGACAAUGGGCGCAAGCCUGAUCCAGCCAUGCCGCGUGUAUGAAGAAGGCCUUCGGGUUGUAAAGUACUUUCAGCAGGGAGGCGUUACCCGAAGAAUAAGCACCGGCUAACUACGUGCCAGCAGCCGCGGUAAUUC